rnacentral:rRNA from 1 species
UCGGGAAUUUUGGGCAAUGGGGGAAACCCUGACCCAGCAACGCCGCGUGAAGGAUGAAGUAUUUCGGUAUGUAAACUUCGAAAGAAUAGGAAGAAUAAAUGACGGUACUAUUUAUAAGGUCCGGCUAACUACGUGCCAGCAGCCGCGGUAAUACGUAGGGACCAAGCGUUGUCCGGAUUUACUGGGCGUAAAGGGCGCGUAGGCGGCAUGACAAGUCACUUGUGAAAUCUCUGGGCUUAACCCAGAACGGCCAAGUGAUACUGUCGCGCUAGAGUGCAGAAGGGGCAAUCGGAAUUCUUGGUGUAGCGGUGAAAUGCGUAGAUAUCAAGAGGAACACCUGAGGUGAAGACGGGUUGCUGGGCUGACACUGACGCUGAGGCGCGAAAGCCAGGGGAGCAAACGGGAUUAGAUACCCACGUAGUCCCUGAGCGGGCUGGCAAGGCGCAU